rfam:Claviceps purpurea 20.1, WGS project CAGA01000000 data, contig: scaffold00002
ACAUACGACCAUACCUACCAGAGAAUUCGGGAUCCCGUCCGCUCUCCCAUAGACAAGCUGGUAAGGGGCAGAUUAGUAGUUGGGUCGGUGACGACCAGCGAACACCGGCUGUUGUAUGUA